rnacentral:rRNA from 1 species
AAUAGAUACCCCGGUAGUCCACGCCGUAAACGAUGAGUGCUAAGUGUUAAGAAGGUUUCCGCCCUUUAGGUGCUGCAGCUAACGCAUUAAGCACUCCGCCUGGGGAGUACGGUCGCAAGACUGAAACUCAAAGGAAUUGACGGGGGCCCGCACAAGCGGUGGGGCAUGUGGUUUAAUUCGAAGCAACGCGAAGAACCUUACCAGGUCUUGACAUCCUCUGACAACUCUAGAGAUAGAGCGUUCCCCUUCGGGGGACAGAGUGACAGGUGGUGCAUGGUUGUCGUCAGCUCGUGUCGUGAGAUGUUGGGUUAAGUCCCGCAACGAGCGCAACCCUUGAUCUUAGUUGCCAGCAUUUAGUUGGGCACUCUAAGGUGACUGCCGGUGACAAACCGGAGGAAGGUAGGGAUGACGUCAAAUCAUCAUGCCCCUUAUGACCUGGGCUACACACGUGCUACAAUGGAUGGUACAAAGGGCUGCAAGACCGCGAGGUCAAGCCAAUCCCAUAAAACCAUUCUCAGUUCGGAUUGUAGGCUGA